GAAUUGACGGGACCCGCACAAGCGGUGGAUGAUGUGGUUUAAUUCGAUGCAACGCGAAAAACCUUACCCACCUUUGACAUGUACGGAAUCCUUUAGAGAUAGAGGAGUGCUCGAAAGAGAGCCGUAACACAGGUGCUGCAUGGCUGUCGUCAGCUCGUGUCGUGAGAUGUUGGGUUAAGUCCCGCAACGAGCGCAACCCUUGUCAUUAGUUGCUACGAAAGGGCACUCUAAUGAGACUGCCGGUGACAAACCGGAGGAAGGUGGGGAUGACGUCAAGUCCUCAUGGCCCUUAUAGGUGGGGCUACACACGUCAUACAAUGGCUGGUACAAAGGGUUGCCAACCCGCGAGGGGGAGCCAAUCCCAUAAAGCCAGUCGUAGUCCGGAUCGCAGUCUGCAACUCGACUGCGUGAAGUCGGAAUCGCUAGUAAUCGUGGAUCAGCAUGUCACGGUGAAUACGUUCCCGGGUCUU
rnacentral:rRNA from 1 species